rnacentral:rRNA from 1 species
AGUGAACGCUGGCGGCAGGCCUAACACAUGCAAGUCGAGCGGCAGCGCGUCCGACCACCCUCGGGUGGUCGGAUGGCGGCGAGCGGCGGACGGGUGAGGAAUGCAUCGGAAUCUGCCUCGUUGUGGGGAUAACGUAGGGAAACUUACGCUAAUACCGCAUACGACCUACGGGUGAAAGUGGGGACCUUCGGGCCUCACGCGAUGAGAUGAGCCGAUGCCGGAUUAGCUAGUUGGCGGGGUAAAGGCCCACCAACGGCGACGAUCCGUAGCUGGUCUGAGAGGAUGAUCAGCCACACUGGAACUGAGACACGGUCCAGACUCCUACGGGAGGCAGCAGUAGGGAAUAUUGGACAAUGGGGGAACCCGUGAUCCAGCCAUGCCGCGUGUGUGAAGAAGGCCUGCGGGUUUGUAAAAGCACUUUCAGU